rnacentral:rRNA from 1 species
AGACAAAUUUAUUUUUUUAUACAAACAAAAAAAUAAAAUGUUGAAUAAUUUAGCAUAGAAUAUUGAAAUAAGAUUUGAAAGAUAAAUAUUUUGGUAAUUAUAAAUUUAAAUAAUGAUAAAUAGGAAUAGUUGGGGGUAUUUGUAUUGAAUAGUCAGAGGUGAAAUUCAAGGAUUUGUUCAAGACAAACAUCAGCGAAAGCAUUUACCAAAGAUAUUUCCAUUAAUCAAGAACGAAAGUUAGGGGAUCGAAGAUGAUCAGAUACCGUCGUAGUCCUAACCAUAAAACAAUACCAACCAAAGAUAAGAGGUUGAAACAAGAGAUAUAAAAAUUGUUUUUUUUAUAUCAAGAAAACUCCUUUUGAAUUUUUGAGGGAAACCAUUGAGUAUUUGGGUUCUGGGGGGAG